rnacentral:rRNA from 1 species
AUUGAACGCUGGCGGCAGGCCUAACACAUGCAAGUCGAACGAGUGGCGGACGGGUGAGUAAUGUCUGGGAAACUGCCCGAUGGAGGGGGAUAACUACUGGAAACGUUAGCUAAUACCGCAUACCAUCGGAUGUGCCCAGAUGGGAUUAGCUAGUAGGUGGGGUAACGGCUCACCUAGGCGACGAUCCCUAGCUGGUCGGAGAGGAUGACCAGCCGGACUGAGACGGAGACACGGCACAGACGGCUACGGGAGGCAGCAGUGGUGAAUAGUGCACAAGGGGCGCAAGCCUGAUGCAGCCAUGCCGCGUGUAUGAAGAAGGCCUUCGGGUUGUAAAGUACUUUCAGCGAGGAGGCGUUACUCGCAGAAGAAGCAACGGCUAACUCCGUGCCAGCAGCCGCGGUAAUAC